rnacentral:rRNA from 1 species
UACGAAGGGGGCUAGCGUUGCUCGGAAUCACUGGGCGUAAAGCGCACGUAGGCGGAUUGCUAAGUCAGGGGUGAAAUCCUGGAGCUCAACUCCAGAACUGCCUUUGAUACUGGCGACCUUGAGUCCGGGAGAGGUGAGUGGAACUGCGAGUGUAGAGGUGAAAUUCGUAGAUAUUCGCAAGAACACCAGUGGCGAAGGCGGCUCACUGGCCCUGUACUGACGCUGAGGUGCGAAAGCGUGGGGAGCAAACAGG